CAGGGAGACAACACAAUGAUUUUGAUGCCUGAGUGCUUUUAUUCUUAGGCCGAAAUCCUGUCACCUUAGGUCGAUCGGUACCUCAGCUUUGAAGUUAAGGAUCAGCAGCAAUGUUGAUUGCUUGAUGGAGAUUUUCAGUUCCUAAACUUUGUCUAGGUCACACCCCAAAAGGGAUGAGACUCCUGGGCCAUUAGCUCAGGUGGUUAGAGCGCACCCCUGAUAAGGGUGAGGUCCCUGGUUCAAGUCCAGGAUGGCCCAUUCGGUGUUGGGGGUUUAGCUCAGUUGGUAGAGCGCCUGCUUUGCAAGUAGGAUGUCAGGAGUUCGAGUCUCCUAACCUCCACUGACCGAACUUGAUUCCCAUCUCCAAUUUUUUUGGAGUUGAGCUCGAUUGGAGUGUGAUUUAGAUGUGUCCGCUGGAUGACCCCAGCUUCCUGUCAUUCCAAGUUUUAGGUUGAUGCCUUGAAUUUGGUUGAUAAGAUGCUGGGCUCGGAUCAAAUGAUCAAGCAAUUGAUGAUUUGAUUUUAAGUUCUAGCAGAACCUUGACAACUGCAUAGGUGAGUCUGGAAAAAACAAAGCAUCUUACAGAUGCAUUGUUUUGAAUCUGAUCUUCUGAAAUGGAGAUUGGAUCUAGAACAAUGAAAAUUCUUUUGAGCAAGAGCCGAGACUCUUGAACGUUCUUUGAUUGGUGUCGAGCCAGUCAGAGUUUGAUCUUGUUUUUAGCAAUAAAAACUUGAGGAUCUGCUUUCAACGGCGGUAAGCGUUCAGGAGGUUAAUU
rnacentral:tRNA from 1 species